UUUUUUUUUUUUUUUUUUUUUGUCUCUUUUAGGGCCACACCAGAGGCAUUUGGAGGUUCCCAGGCUAGGGGUCUAAAUGGAUCACUAGCCGCUGGCCUACACCACAGCCACAGCAAUGCCAGAUCCGAGCCAUGUCUGUGACUUCCACCACAGCUCAUGGCAACACUGGAUACUUAACCCACUGAGCAAGGCCAGGGAUCGAACCCACAACCUCACAGUUCCUAGUCAGUUUUGUUAACCACUGAGCCAAAAUGGGAACUCCAGGGGAAAAAAAUCAUCAUGAACGAUCUUGGUCAGAGGGCAGUUCUCAGCUUCUGCCUCUCAUUAUGAAACUCCUAAACCAGAUAAUUCUUCUACCCACUUCUUAGUAGGGCUCUAAGCUGGCAAACAAUCUAAGGUCUGCCAAUUAGACACCUACUUCCAGGAUUUUGAAUUGUGACUGAAUGAUAGAAGGGGCAGUGUGAGGGAAAUGACAGGAUGUCUUUGUGGAAGCAUCAGCUGCAGUGGAACCUUGACAGCUACACAAGAAUCCCUGGUUCCUGCUUGACUGCCAUGCUUGCUUGCCUGCCAGCCUGUGGUAAAUGCUGUAAGCUUCCAACAUCCUUGCUAUAAAUUAUAUUUACUUAAGACAAUAAGUUUCUAUUGCUGGCAACCAAGAAUUCCAGCAGAUCCACUGUGGGAUUAUCACAAUACCAACAGUAUUUAUUAACAACGAAUAAUUUAUCAAAAGUUUUCACAUUCUUCUCUCACUAGUCCUAGCAUCAAUAAGGUAGGUUAGUAUGAUAUUAUGCUAAUUGUUAAGCAGGUAAGAACAUAAAAGGCAGAGUCCUGCUACAGCACAACGGAAUCAGUGGCAUCAGGAUCAGUGGCAUUGUCUCUGGAUGUAGGUUGGGCUGUAGUGGAUGUCUCUGGGCUGGGAUGUAGGUUGAUCCCUGGCCUGGCAGUGGAUUAAGGAUCCAGCGUUGUUGCAGCUGCACCAUAGGUCAUAACUGUGGCUUGGAUCUGAUCCCUAGCCAGGGAAAUCCAUAUGCCACAGGGUAGCCAAAAAAGGAAAAAAAAAAAAAAAAAAAGAACAUAAAUGGCUGAAGAAGUGACUGGCCCAAUGUCACACAAUAAGACAACAGAAUUCAAACACAGAAAUGUGUUUGAAUCCAACAUCCAUGUUAUUCCACUAUAGCACACUGCUUCCUAAAGCAAUGAGUCACUAAAGACAUUACUAAAAGAGGUUCUAAAGAAGACACAAAACCAUUUUAAAAUGAUUUUUCACAAUGAAAGUUCAUAGGGUCAAAUUAAAUUGUGACUCAAUUUAAUUAUGAUUCAAGGAGAAAGUCUAAGAAAGAUCAUGUUUGUGCUACAAGGCCCUAGCCCACUUAGCACAGAUAAUUUAUUCAAAGGAUUAACAUUUAACCUAAACUAUGACUAUCAGAUUCUCUCUCACCAGCAUUUGAAAUUCUGAAAAAGACUUCGAGUAGUCAGAGCUGAGGUAUAAUGAAGGCAGUGUUCUAGAAAAAGGGUAGAGACCUUUGGGGCUAGCCUGGUCCCUGUAUCUCCCAAAUCUUGAUUGUCUUUAUUCUUCUCAGAAGGGAAUUUUAAUGCAAUCUUCUCUCCCUUAAGAUGUGCUUCUGGAGUUCCCAUCAUAGCACAGCAGAAACAAACUGGACUAGGAACCAUGAGGUUGCUGGUUCGAUUCCAGGCCUUGUACAGUGGGUUAAGGAUCCGGUGUUGCCAUGAGCUGUGGUGUGGGUAGCAGGCGCAGCUCCGAUCUGGCAUUGCUGUAGCUCUGGUGUAGGCUGACAGCUACCCCUAGCCUGGGAACCUCCAUAGGCCGCAAGUGUGGCCCUAAAAAGAUAAACAACAACAACAACAAAACUCUGCUUGCUAAAACCACCAAUUUUCAAAUCUACUGGACACUAUGUUUUUUGACCUCCCUAUUUAAUACUCCCUACUGCCUCUUCUUCUUUUUAACUUAAUCUUGGUUUCAAUGACAUUAUUCCUUGUCUUUCUUUUCUCCUGUUCUUUAAUCCCCAAUGCACUUUUCUUCCUAUCCUUUAAAAUGUUCAUGCUACCCAGUUUCAUCCUCUGUCCACAUAUCCUCUAGGUGUUAUCAACCACAUCUAUGACAUCAACUAUUAAAAAGUAUUUGAGGAGGGAGUUCCCAACGUGGCUCAGUAGCAACAAACCUGACUUUACUAUCCAUGAGGAUACAGGUUCAAUUCCCGGCCUUGCUCAGUGGGUUAUGGAUCCAGUGUUGCCGUGAGUUGUGGUAUAGGCUGCAGAUGAGGCUCUGAGCCUGUGUUGCUAUAGCUGUGGUGCAAGUCAGCAGCUCUAGCUCUGAAUGGACCCCUAGCCUGGGAACUUCUAUAUGCCACAAGUACAACCCCCCAAAAGGAAAAAAACCAUUUGAGGAGGAGUUCCUGCCAUGGCUCAGCAGGUUAAGAACCCAACUAGUGUAAUGAGGAUACAGGUUUGAUCCCUGGCCUUGCUCAGUAGGUUAAGGAUCCUGCGUUGCUGUGAGCUGUGGUAUAGGUUGCAGACACAGCUCGGAUUCUGCAGUGCUGUGGCGUAGACUGGCAGCUACAGCUCUGAAUCGACCCCUAGCCGGAGAACCUCCAUAUGCCACGUG
rnacentral:lncRNA from 1 species